UCCGUAGGCGGUGUGGCAAGUCGGGAGUGAAAUCUCUGGGCUUAACCCAGAGGCUGCUCCCGAAACUGCCGUGCUAGAGUGUGAGAGAGGCGAGUGGAAUUGCGGGUGUAGCGGUGAAAUGCGUAGAUAUCCGCAGGAACAUCCGAGGCGAAAGCGGCUCGCUGGAUCACAACUGACGCUGAGGGACGAAAGCUAGGGAGCAAACA
rnacentral:rRNA from 1 species